rnacentral:rRNA from 1 species
AUUGAACGCUGGCGGCAGGCCUAACACAUGCAAGUCGAGCGGAUGAAGGGAGCUUGCUCCUGGAUUCAGCGGCGGACGGGUGAGUAAUGCCUAGGAAUCUGCCUGGUAGUGGGGGAUAACGUCCGGAAACGGGCGCUAAUACCGCAUACGUCCUGAGGGAGAAAGUGGGGAUCUUCGGCCCUCACGCUAUCAGAUGAGCCUAGGUCGGAUUAGCUAGUUGGUGGGGUAAAGGCCUACCAAGGCGACGAUCCGUAACUGGUCUGAGAGGAUGAUCAGUCACACUGGAACUGAGACACGGUCCAGACUCCUACGGGAGGCAGCAGUGGGGAAUAUUGGACAAUGGGCGAAAGCCUGAUCCAGCCAUGCCGCGUGUGUGAAGAAGGUCUUCGGAUUGUAAAGCACUUUAAGUUGGGAGGAAGGGCAGUAAGUUAAUACCUUGCUGUUUUGACGUUACCAACAGAAUAAGCACCGGCUAACUUCGUG